CUUUCCAUCACAUUACAGCACAUACACAGGCCAGUGUAGCUGGUAACAGAAAGGCAAGCAUCUCCACGUCCUUGUGAGAUACUGCCUGUGGAUCUGACUAUGCAGUAAUACUAUUAAGUGCCAGAAACUUGUGAUGGGACUCAGCAAAAUGAAUCCUCCUGAGGAGGCGGAGAACCUCUCAACCUAGCAAUUCUCUACAUCCAGGACAGUUCCUAGGUACAUCCUAGGGAAAGGCAUUUUAUCUGACCAGCCGUAUAGCAUACAUACACAAGCUGUAGCCAGCAUGUGUGUGAGCUCCUGGCUUGGUGCAUGAGUCUGAGCGUUUUGAACCCUGGUGCACACUGGGAGUUAGCAGGCUUUCAAAGCACUUCCCAUGAGCCCAGAUAUUGAUCAGCUCUGUUGCUAUUUGCAUUACACGUGCUAUUGUCCAGCAAAAAGCAUGGUUUCUGUUCUGAUUUCAUAUGCUUCCAUUAACCUCUAAUCAAGAGAAGCAAAUAAUUUCUCCUGUAUCAUCUCUAUUUUAUACUGCGGAAACCAGCUAUUUACAUAGCUGCCUUGUGUGUAACUCCACAGACCAGGAGGCUCUUCUUACGAAGACCUUAUGGUCCAACUGCAUGUGGGAUUUGAGUGGCUAACUAGAAUCCUCUGCACAUUAUCUGUUGCUUCUUUGUACGCUCCGCUUCCCUUCUUUACGUCUGAAUUUGGACUGGGGAUAAUGAACUUCCUGUAUCAUGCACUGCGACACAAGGAAACCCAUUGUAUGUGAACCAAGGAAGAGUAUAUCAGUGAGUGGUUUGUAAGGCAGCUCUGGCAGGUCUUGUUAGAAUGACUUAUUCUCAGAGUUUCAGUGGCUUGAUUUAGUGGAUCAUGUGAUAAGCACUUAUAAUGAACUUCUUCACAUGCUGCCAGGGGAAGCCCAGCAGAUAAAGUGCUUAAUCACACGGCAUUGCUCUGUGCAUAACAAACUGAUUACAAAGAUGGAAAAGUCAUGCAAUUCACUGGCUUCUCCUACUCAGGACAGCACAACAGUGUUACACAACUUUCUUUCUGCUGCCCGAAAUCAAAAUAUUCUUGCUACUAAAUCCAGUUCAAACUAGCAUGUUUCUCUUCCUGCAGCUCACCAAGUGCUCCACCCAGCAGGUUACAGCUGAAUGUAACCACCUGCAGCAAGCCUAUAGGCAUGCUUAUGAGUGAUUUCUUUCUUAUUAGAGAAAACAGUGCCCCCAGAAACAACAACAAUCAAGAACGGAGCAUAAACUCCUGAGUAACCCCAGCUAGUUUGCUUUAAAAAUAACAAUCUAGGUCAGCCUGAAUCACCACAAGGGUAAUCCUCAUUUCACUACCAACAGCAGCAGAGGUCAAGAAGCCAGCCUCGCUCAGGGGCAUCUGUUGCAGUUUCGGCCAAAACUUGCGGGACCGAUGACCAGGGUAAGACAAUACUGGAUGUGUUCUCUCUUCCCCCCCAGCUGGUGGCUCACACACUGCAGCGCCUUUGCAGAAAGCAUCCUGGCUCAGUGAUAUAGUGUGGGAUGUGCUUGUUCCAGCCCUGUCUGUUGGAACAAAUUGUGGUGCUACUUCUCCAAGGCCAGUGUUAUAUCCCUGACUCAGCUGCAGCAAGGGUAUGACAGAGGGAGUGCCUUUAGGAAAGUCAUCUUCAGGUUCUGGGACUGAGAUGAGUGACAGACCCCAAAGAGCUCUGCUCCCUGACCAGCGAUACCUGCACGCUCCCAUUGCCAAGGGCAACAACUAUGUGCACCAGGACCUGUCUGUUGCUCUGGUACACCUGAUGAUAAUGCCUGUGAAAACUGCUACCCAGAAAAGGGCUAGGAGCUCUACCUGCACUCUCAGGUUUCAGGAUAGAGGGGGUGAUCAUUUCAGCAGCGUAUGGUACUGAAGGAGCAUAGGGAGAUAGAUGAGUGGUGGGCUUUCAGUGAGGUAACCAUUUUUACUUGGGAUCCUUAAAUCAGGAAAACAGUGAUGAGAGUAUGGAUGAUGCCUUUCCCUUUAGCUACUUACUGACACCACAGCUGGGACCUUACCAAGUGGUUGCUGAUGUGGCAGCAGCUGCAAAGCUUCCUUCAGGAAUGCCUGUCCUCAGGCUACCUCACUCCUGGUAAUCCCACUGAGUAAUUAGUUCUUUAGGGUCACAGGGUGAAUCACCUCAAAGGGAAUCAUGUUGGGAGUCCAAGUGUCAGGAGAAACGAUAGGCAGAAGCAGCAUGUCGAGUCACCUUACCAGCAGGAUGUGUCUGUCCUGCACAUCAGUAAAAGGGCUGACAUUUGUCUGAUGCAAGGUGGAAUCAACCUGCUGGUGGUGACUGUUACCUCAUUUAGAACCCUUACAUUUCCCUCUUGCUCUUCAGUUGUACUGAGAAUGAAGGAGAGCUUAGCCUUACACAGAAGUACAAUCGCUUGUGCAUCGUAACUAGAAAGCCUGUAUGGCCACAAAGCUGUUUCUGCACAGCACUCAGAACGAUCUUGGUUGUGCCUGUGCUCCCUACUCUGCUUAUUCUCACACCAGCAGCCCCACGUCGCCCAUCCGCUGUGCUGAGCAUCUUGCUGAAUGCCAAUUCACAGACAGACAUGCAGACAGCCCCACAAGUGAGAUUCUGUGCUUGUAGCUUGCAGGCCCCAAAAGCAAGUCUGAGAGCAUCCCUGACACAUAUCGAUGUAUUAACAAUCUAGGUGGGAAGGCAGAGCCAUCACACCUAGUGCAGUGGUUAUGAAGAGACCCGGGGGUGGAACAUCUGCCAGGUGAAGAACACAAACAUGAAUAUCAAACUGACUUCUUAAAUGAAUCAGAACAUCAGACGGGUAGGGGUGAUGCCUUGCUCUCUGGCCUGAGCUACCAUGACACUUAUCUGUAUGAUAAGGAAUGGUCCAGGCCUGCAGCAUCUCACAGCAAACCUAGGGGAUGGUAAGAAGUGUUUGUUCAGGAAGUCAAUAUGUAAAUACAACUGCAGUUUAAAAUGUACAUCAAACUUUGUAUAUCAGCUUUCCUAUACAGUGUUACUAGCCAUUAAGUUUUGGUCAUGUUAUUUCUCAAUUAAUGAGAUUGCACAGGUGUAAUCAAAGGGAUAAUAUGAUACCAAUCAGAUUUCAUCAGCAAAAUGCUGCUUCCAGCUGUGAUAACAUGGGAGAAAGAAAGAAGGCCUUUUCUUGAUUUAUUUUCCAGCUAAUAGGAAUUCACAUACCUAAUGGUGAGAAAAAUGUUUAAAAAUACACUUUCUAUACAAUCAGUAAGAACCAAGAACUGCGAAAUUAUGAUACUGCUAUUAGAUUCAGUCAUCAGAGAAUAACUUAAUUGUAAUUCUGUAAACUCAGUUAAAAUUUGCUCUUCAAACUGUUUCCACAUGACAAGGAAAUCUCCUGGAAAUGUUGGCUCAUUGUCCUUAAUCGCGUUUUGGUAUUUUGAACAGAACAUACGCCCCCAUAGCAUUUAAUUCUACUCACAAGUUCGGUAUUUCAGAUUAUGUAUGGAUGUUGGACAUGAAAGGAUUUUACUCCACACUUAAAACAGUUCAUGUUAAAGUCAUUUACUCUUAAUUCUAUUAAGCAACUAGUGAUUUUAAAAGCCAGUAUUUAUAUAUUCUUAUAUUAAAUCACUGUCUCCCGAGCUCUGUGUGCCUGGUUUAAAAAAUGGAAUCCACCAAAUUCCUCAAGAACUAACAGAUUUUUGUAAAUGUGAGGCUUACUGAGGCUAGGUAUUCCAAACAGAGAACCAGGCUACAGUAUUUCAUUUCUCACUCCUCUAGCACUACAUAACUCUGCUACAAAGGUGCAUUGUGAGAGUUCAGCUUUUAAAUUUUUAGCAGCUGAAGAGCAUCAGUGAGCAUUAAGUAAAAUUUCUUUUAGACUUAGUAAUCUUUACCACGUCUUUUCCCUCCAUGUGACAAAACAGAUAAAGGUGCUUGUGGUUUAAAACAUGGACACUAAGCUACCCAUGAUGUAGGUGAAAUUGUGAAUUAGAAUCUCUGGAGUAUUAUUGUGCUUUUUUUUUUUUACUACUCUCCUCCUUGUAUGUAUUAAAUAGUGUCUACAGAUUUCCUGUGUAGGCCUGUCCCCAGGGACUGAAAACCUGGUGUAGACAACUCAUAAAUAAAGCGAGUGAGACAUGAGCAAGAAAAAGCAUACCAUACUUCUGGGAAUCACUCCAGGAAAAUAAAUGUGCAAGAUGGCACAUCACCCUACACAAAGCUGGCAAAGGUAAAAUAACAUUUGGGUUUGAUCAUUACAGAAAAUAAAAUAAUUCUGUGUUCACAUGUACGUGCUGGUCUUUCACUGAAAUGAAAGGGCAAGGGUAAGACUGGAGUUCUGACUUACAGGAAAACAAUCCUGCCGGUAACCGUUGCAGCUUAUCGAACUAAAGUGGAGGAUGAAGCCUGGAUUCGAUCCCUAGCUUUCAGAAGGCCUGGGUAUUCUCUAGAAUUGGCCACCAUCAUUUAUUUCCCAUCUCUGUUGUUCACUACUUCUACAUCAUAUGCUUUCUUUUUAAGGGACCAUCUAAAUUCUAGGUAUACCUUUCCCUCACUGAUGACAAUGCAUGAUUUUUUUUAUAGAAGUGGCAUAAAAACACUGUAAAGAACAGAAGAGAAACAGUCAGCUUGGUUUCUUAUAAUGGGUUUGGAUGAGCAUACCCUCCCAUUUCCAUCUGUGCUUUAUUCUCUUUUGCUCAAGAGUAGGAUAUUACAUUUAUUGGCACUGACGUUCCUCAGAGCUUAUUCUUUUUUUCUCCCCUUCUGCUCUCAUUUUCCCACUUUUUUUUUUUUACUAUUUUUCAGUCUCCUGCAUCCUCAUUUUCCUACCAUCCUAUGCACUAUCUAGUCCCCAGUUUACUGUAUUUAUGAGACACUCUGCAGGUUCAAGCAACUGUGUAUAAGGUAUGACAACAGAACAACUACAAGGAAAUUAUUAGUAUUUAAGGGAUGAAUUGGCAUAGAAGACAUCCUGCAACUAUGCAGACUGCAGACAGAUGCUUACCUAUCUUCUGCUUGGCUGUAAUCCGGAAAUGUACAGAAUUCUUCGACAGCAAAAGUACUCUCAUCAAUUUUUAUUUCUAUGAUGUCCUUAUUUUUGCUUUUAGGGAUGGGGGUUUACCUUCAUCUUAAAACUGUUUGCCUGGCAAUGCGUGGAAAAUUUUGCUUGGGUUCUUAAGUAUCUACCUUGUUGUGCAGGUACAGCUUUAAAACGAGCUAUUUAUCUUUAUGAUCGAACAUCCUCACACUAUCAGAUAUUGAGCCUUUCACUGCACAGUGAACCUGCAGAAAAACCUUUUAUGUCUCAGAAUGAAUGAGAGGUUACUAAUGAUAUAGCCACAGGAGUUCUAGGACAGGUGUAUACAACUAUCUGCCAGAGUCGAACAUUUGCUUAUGUGACUUUGAGGCCUGAUAUACCCAUCAAGCACAUAUAAGAUUUCUGGCUCCUUGAAAUUUUUGCUCCUCUCACAAGUGAUAGCCUCCAGGUCAUCCUAUCUGACAAAAGUAAACAAGAGCAUAAGACACUUGUCAAGGAUAUGGACUCCUGGAAGCUGAGUCCAGUCUGAGGAGGAAGAACUGGUGUAUCUAUCUUGGCUAGACCUUUCAAGAGCCACAGUUCAGUGACGUGGAAGAAGCCACUGAGUAUAGACUUCUGCAAGCUCAACUUCUUUCAGCCUUUCAGGAUUGGUGACUGCUCUAAAGCCAGAAGAUAGUUUACAAUAUUACGUGGCAAUUCCUUAAAUGUAUUCAAGACAUUCUGUAGCUCUGGGAAGAAAAUCUUAUUUCCUUUGCCAAUUAAAUAUGCCUUUUUACCACUGAUGAAGACUGAGUGAAAAGCAAGACGUCCUAUUCUUAACAGCCAUCCAGCAUGCAGGCUAAGAGCGGGAACAACCUUAAGUCCAGGUAUCAAACCAUUCCUUUGUUCUCUGGCUCCAAAUGCAGAGAAGUCUUUAAGCUCCACAAAUAUCCUAUUCAGGAAACCAGAAAUCUUUUGGCAAGUGGAGAUCAAAAAGAUAAUUAUGCUGAGUUCCACUUGAUUUUGCCAGGUAAUUUGGUAAUUAGAAGGACUGGCAGGUUAGUAUAAAAGGAAACAGCAAUUCCUGAAAUGCAGAAAUCAUCUUCUUGUUGACCUGUGCUGUGAAGAUGUCCAUUCAGGACAAUUCUAUUUUGAGAAGAUGCCUUCAAAUGUUUUUGAUUUCCUGUCCGUGCUUUGAAUAGGUGUGUCUAUGGAAACCUUUUACCAAGCGACUCUGCAGACUAAAUACACAAGAAAAGAUUUUAUGCAAGUGCUAUAAUUUAACUACUUCCUGGCACAGACAGUAAUGUCACACUCUCACAGUACCAACACGAAGCCAUGUAAGAAGACGGCUAACAAUCAUGAUGGCUUUUCUGUUAUAGGUAUUUGACCACUGAGCAGUUUAAGGCUCUGACCUAGCUGUAAAGAGGCCAUCCAAAAACAGAUGGUGAUAACUUUCAGUUGUGACUUGUAUGGUGUCAAGUUCUAACCCGUAUCCUGUGAAUUACUCAUUUCCUACAGGAAAUUCAUCUUUGCUACUAUCGUUUAACAGAAUCGCAACCAUCUAUUCUGCUUUGAAGUAUUUGUCUGCUUUCUAGUGUUUCAGUCUAGCAAGCCUAUUUCCCCUGAAUGAAUUGGCAGUAUUUUUAGAGUAAAAUGAAGGGUAAGGGUUCUGUGGUUUGAGAAAGUCAAAUAUAAGUUCAAUGCCUGAUGCAAGAGCAAAUCUCCUUGUGACAAUGCGCAAACUGUUAAGUUUCUCUAGCUGUCUCCAUCAAGGGAAAAAAAAGGAGCGAUGAAUUCCUUAGUACUUGUGAAAUUUUCAGCUAAUCUUCCCACUUGACUUGCAAGAGACUCAGUGAUGUGCUGUGUUUGUUUUUUUAAUCUUCAGCAUUUGGAAGCUCCAUCUCCCUUAGUAAAUAAGAGCACUACAACUACUGUCUACACUGUGAUGGAACAAAAAGUCCUUCAGCCCAGAUAAAAUAGAGCUCUUCAAAUGCUUUCCCAUGCGUCAAAUAACCCAAAUACUUCAACGUUUCCUGAACUGCACUCCCAGUAACGGACAGGAUAAGGCAAGACAGGAGAGGAUACAGGAGUGGGCUGGAACGACCUACAGUGUUCUGUACUUUGUUCUUGAAACAAGCAGAGUAACCUCCCUCAAAGCAGCUACUGUGAAAUCUGCAGUCCGUGACAAGGUUCCAGGGCCUGGCAAGACACCUGAGUCAGCAGAGCAUGCCCACCUGGAGUCUAUAAUAUCAGCAGGCACAUCAGCUUAAUGCUCAAAAGAGUAGUAUGAAUGCAUUUCUCCAGCUAUGAGAAAGUGCCAUUUUCCCCUAUGUUCUCCAAACAGUUACAUAAAACCAGCCUGUAUUUCCCUCUUACUGUGGGGUGAAUAUAAUUCUCUCUCUGAAAAAAAUCUGCAUCUGAAAUAAGAUAUUAAUUUGCAGGAAUGAUUAAUAGUUCUGCUGACUGCUAAAAAUCCAGUUAGAGCAGUUAGGGUAUGAUGGCUUUACAGGAGCGGGAUAAAGUUUAUUUGAUUUUCUGUAACUGAGUGUCCUCAGCUGAACCUACCAACCCUUUGCUGUGCAAGGAUUGUAACUCCCGCUGCAGUUGGAUCAGCCUCCAUUUCUAUUUUUAGUGCAGAUCUUGCUCCUUAUUUAGUCCUGAUUGCACAGCCAGAACUGCAUUCUCAGCAGCUCAGUGAAAAGCCUGCCUGUUCCAUUUUAUAACUUUUCCAGACAAAAAGAUGGGAAGCCUGUAGCUUUCCAAACACUCUUAUUUUUAAGAGCUUGCAAUACGAUACAGCCCCAAACCCAAGGGCUGAAUGAAUCCCUGCUGAAAUAUUGUUGAAUUUUCUGGAGUUUUACUCAGCAUUAAUUUCCCCCUCCCCCCCCAGAAAAAAAAACAACCAACAACAAAAAUCAAAAAAUCAAAAACCCUUCUUCACUGUAAAUACUUAAAAAGAUAUUUAUCAAAACAGUAAUAAUAUACAUCUGGAUCAAACCCUCUAGACAACAUGCUAUCUUCUUUAGAUUCAUAGUUUAUAAAUCCAAGUCAUGGAGGCAACUACUAGCCAAGAAAGAAAGAAACAAGGAAAAAUGGAAAAAGUUGAGUUUGAAGAUUCUCUAAGCAGGGGCGACCACACAGAAGCAAUUUUCUGGCACUCGAUUAAAACCACUCAAUUAACAUUUCUGAGCAAAGUUUUCCCACUAUAGCAAGAACAGAUAGAGUUGCUGUAGUUCUGUUUGCAUUAGCUACAGUGCUUCACCUUUGCUUACAGGCUUUGCUUCUGCAGUAUCUUCUUAGUGAUGUAUACUUAGGAAGAUAUAUUUCAGUGUGUUGUACACAGUAAAAAAACAAUAUUAAGACGAUUAAGGCCACUGUUAGGCUGUAAACACACAACCUACACUGCUAAUACAAGUAAAAUACAUCCUUAUCUACGUGUACUGAAAUAUGUUGCCAGUAGUGUGAUGACACUUUGCAUCUUACUAUACGUCUAAAUCAAGCACACCUGCAAAUAGCAUUUUAUUCUUAACCCAAGGUAAAAAAUCAUAUCCUCAUAUGCACAGAUCUCUUCUUAGAUGAAAUCCUAAACCCUUCCUCCAUGCAAGAAAUUUCUAAGAAAUUGUUAUGCUAGUCAGGCAGUAAUCACUGAAUUCAGCCAUCUUUAUCGGACACAUAAUGACAUCCAACACCACUCUUGCAAUGGGGGAGACUGACUGCAGAUGGAAAUUACCCUCAGCUUCCCCAGCAUUCAGGCUGUUGACUAGUUCUUUUAUGCCACACUGAGAACACAAAGGCAGAUUUAAAAGAAAAUUAACUGGAAGAGUAAAGGAAUUAAAAUCAGUGAAGGAACUGAUAGACUAACAUAUUCUUAUUGUAAAUUCAGGAAUUUAAUUAGCCCCCAGUCAAACACUGGACAAAUCACAAAGCCGAUACAAAAUGGAAAGGCCAUUAAAAGUAGAUACUCAGCAGAUCUGAAUUUACAUAUUUUGUGUGCCUCAAAUACCCAAUUCAUUCUGUGAAAAUGGAGGGUGUUCCAAACAUAUGAAGUCAGGUUCAUUAUCUCGAUUUAAAUAAAAGAAAGCUCGAAAGAGAGAAGUUGAAUGCCACAAGAAGUAAGUACUCAAGAUCACUAUCUCAAAGGCCUGAGGUUAGAAACUGAAAGGACUGGAAGUUAUCAACCGAAAAUAAAAAACCCAAGUACUUCAAAGCCUGUUUAUCCUGGCUGGUAUCAGGAAUAUUGUACCCUUGUAUCCUAAAUAGAGACUAUGGCAAUUUGGCUAAUGAGGAUAUGCACUGUCUUGGCUGUGGUUUUCAGCACCACAUACAAAGCUGAAACUCUACCACAUUUAGGAAAAAAAAAAGGGGGGGGAUAAAUAUAGUGGCACUGCUAGAUGUCAGUGCUAAAACCAGGCCAAUGGAGUCCCAAUUAUAGUGCAAAAUGUAUCAAUUUACCUGCAAUUAUAUUCUGGACAUAAUCCUUAAUAAUAAAAGUGGCUGCUGAAUCCAUUUGGAAGAAAAACUUGUCUAAGGGUACAUCAUUUUGUUUG